ensembl:lncRNA
CUCUCAGCUGCUAGCGGUUUAGACGCUGAUCAUGUCCGCAUAUAUACCGCACGCCUCCCAGCACACAAGGCGGAAGAUUACUAUAGAGUUAAGUUAGUUUAGUUCGUAUCGUAGUCAUAGUCACGGUCCAUGUUUAGAGUUAGUUCGCGCUGGAUUAUCUGCUUCCAGUCCCUCGUCAUAGUUCGUUUCUCGUUUUGUUUACCGACCCUGUUUUCCAUGACCACGACCUAGAUUCCUGCCUUGCCCCGUGUAUGCCUGUUUGCCAAUGGCCUGACCUCUUGCAUGUUAUGGAUUACGUUUUGGAUCACGUAUUGGAUUUGUCUGCCUGUCUCUCUUUCAAAUAAACAACUGUUCAUCCUGCACUUGCAUCCGUCCUAUCUCUGCUCCGUCACGAUCCGUGAUAGUAUGUGCCUAAAUUAAACAAAUAUAGUCGUGUUAAACAAUCUACAAUCUUUGACUAUUUAACUGUAAAUAUGCAACAUUUGUGUAGCACUUUGUAAAAUCUAAAUGUGUACUCAUUUCACGCAGUGAUUAAUUAAUUCCAUGUGUAUUGAAAAUUAACAUAGAUAGCAAAAAAUGGUAGCUAUGUUUGAUGUUUGGCUGUAUAUGGUUUUACAGUACAGUAAUUACUCAGAUUUAAUGGUAAUUGUAAGUCUGUAAUGGUGCAUACUGGAUAAGUUGGAAAUGUAAGUUAUAAUAGUAGCUAAAAUGAAAAACAAAAAAACCUGGUAUGAUACAACACUUAAAGCUUAAAGUCCAUUUGUUGCCUGUUUAUAUACAAGAAUAUACAUAACUCUAGUUACCAAUGAGUCAUCAUUUACCAUUAAUACAGAUUCCUUGUAUUGCUCUCUCUCUCUUUCUCACUCUCUCACUCACACACAUUGUCACUCUCUUUGCAUGCACCUUUAUUCGUUCUAUGGUCAUGAGCUAUUGGUGUUUACUGCAAUAGCCACAAUCUAAAGAAUCUAUUAUCCUUAUUACGUGGAGUGUUUUAGAGGGUUCAGGACCCUAUAAUUCCAGACUGUGUGUUUCCAUCACUGCUGAAUGAAUAAUGCAUCAGGAUCCACUCAGCUAAUCUGGCAGGGUUGAGUACAGGUAAUCAGUGCAGGACAAAACAUAGCAGGAAACCACUCGCUGACCCUUUCUGCCCAGCACAACCACUACAUAAUAAAGUGAAUAGUGAAAGCACUGUUGGAACAACAAGUCCUUUAUGCCAGUAAGAGAACAUAGGUUUGCCCAUCAGUGUAUAGUUGUGCUAUCAUUUGCCAAUUUCAAGCACAUUUCACAUUUUCCCACAUGUUUAGGAAUACACACGAAUAAUUUGGUGUAUUAAAUAUAUCUUAAUGUGUCAUUUCUACAAGUCGCUAAACAGACGGAUGUCACUGAGGCUGAGAUGCCUGUACCAUGUCAGAUAUAGAUGCAGCCUUGUUAUUUUCAGCUGAAACUGGUUUUAGGCUAAGCUCACUCACUCAUGUGAAGUGUUUGCUAAUCAGUGAAUCAGUGUAACUUCACCAAUACCCAUCUUAUCACCUCAUUAAACAUGUACAAUUUUAAAACUUACAAGGUUUUAAAGAUGGCCUAACUACACAAAAACUCAUCAUGGGAAGACAGAUAAAUCUUUUGGCAGAAGACUUUCUUAUCUUUUUUCCCCCAGUGAAACUAUAGUGUUAAUAGUAUCAUAAUUAUUAGGGAUGGUGGAACUCAGUGGAUUCAUUCUCAUAUUUUUUUUUCUUUCAAUGUUCCUGUAAUAUAUCUGCUUCUGUGAGAUUGCAAUUAAGUAAUUCCCUCAGCUGUUAGCUGGACCUGAAUAAAUAUUACUGUGUAAUACUGUGCAAAAUGCAUUAUUCAGUAAGACAAAGCUGAUGUUGGACAUUUAUAAUUCAGCUCCAGCUCUUUCUGGUCAUAUUUUAUCCUUGUUAACAGCAAAGCAAGACUGUCCAAACUAAGUCUGAAAGUGAAACCAUUUGUCUGCUAAGCCAUUAAUGAGCUCAUUUCAGCAGAGUGUUUACUAAAAUCUCACAAUAAAUAAGAUAUUAAUUCCCUCUAGUCUGCAUUGACAUCCUCAGCAUCUUUACCACAUCCAUCACCAUCAUUCCAUUCAUCAAAUCUCUAAAUAGCCAGUGGCAUCAUUGGCUUAUAAUGGCAUGAUAAUGUACUAUACAGUAUGCCUUGUCAGAAAUGCCAGUCAGUACACCAUAAGCAAAGGUGGACAACUACUACUACUAGUCUGGGUACCAGGGACAAGCGUAUAAUGUCAGCGCUAUUAGUAAUUUUAUUCAUAGUUUCACUUUAUUGAAAGGAGAAGAAACUCUACUUUAGACACUAGUUUAGUGUGGGGGGAACAGUGGCUUAGUGGUUAGCACGUUUGUUCACAUCUCAAGGGUUGGGGGUUUGAUUCCUGCUUCCGUCCUGUGUGCGUGGAGUUUGAACGAUCUCCCUGUGCUUUGGGUUUUCCUCCUUGUACUCCAGUUUCCUCUCCCAGUCCAAAGACAUAAAUGUUGUAGGCUGAUUGGCAAAUCCAAAUUGUCCGUAGUGUGUGAAUGUGUGUGAGAUUGUGCCCUGUGAAAGUUUGUCCAGGGUGUACCCUGCCUUGUGCCCGAUGCUCAAUGGAAUAGGCUCCAGGUUCCCCGUGACCCUGAAGAAUAAGCUGUAUAGAAAAUGGAUGGAUGAAUGACUGGUGUGUUUUUAAACUAUUUUAGAACAAAUUCACAAGUUCCUCAUCUUGCAUUUCCAAGAAUGGUACGUGCUGCUCUUGUGUCAUUUUGUUUUGAGGCCUGUCAUGUACUUUGUUUAUGUUUGUUACUUGUUAUGACUUGCUUUUAUUUUGGUUUUGGUCCUGUCUUUGCCUCCAUCUUGUCAGUGGUGUAAUUGUGUCCUCGUGUUCUGUGUUAAACCUUUGAUUAAUUUAACCAUAUCCGGAUAGGAUUAAAUUUAUAUGGGGUC